rnacentral:rRNA from 1 species
CCUACGGGUGGCAGCAGUCGGGAAUAUUGCGCAAUGGAGGAAACUCUGACGCAGUGACGCCGCGUGCAGGAAGAAGGUUUUCGGAUUGUAAACUGCUUUAGACAGGGAAGAAAAAAGACAGUACCUGUAGAAUAAGCUCCGGCUAACUACGUGCCAGCAGCCGCGGUAAUACGGAGGAUGCGAGCGUUAUCCGGAUUUAUUGGGUUUAAAGGGUGCGCAGGCGGCCUGUUAAGUCAGCGGUAAAAGCCCGGGGCUCAACCCCGGCGAGCCGUUGAAACUGGCGGGCUGGAGUUGGAGAGAAGUACGCGGAAUGCGCGGUGUAGCGGUGAAAUGCUUAGAUAUCGCGCAGAACCCCGAUUGCGAAGGCAGCGUACCGGCUCCACACUGACGCUGAGGCACGAAAGCGUGGGUAUCGAACAGGAUUAGAUACCCCUGUAGUC